AAUCAACGCUGGCGGCGUGCCUAACACAUGCAAGUCGAACGCGAAAGUGGAGCAAUCCAUGAGUAGAGUGGCAAACGGGUGAGUAACGCGUGGGCGACCUGCCUUCGAGUGGGGGAUAACAUUCCGAAAGGGAGUGCUAAUACCGCAUAACAUCCUUCGUUUAGAUACGAGGUGAUCAAAGCCGGGAGCAAUUCUGGCGCUUAAAGAGGGGCCCGCGUCCGAUUAGCUAG
rnacentral:rRNA from 1 species